rnacentral:rRNA from 1 species
GAUGAACGCUAGCUACAGGCUUAACACAUGCAAGUCGAGGGGAAACGACAUCGAAAGCUUGCUUUUGAUGGGCGUCGACCGGCGCACGGGUGAGUAACGCGUAUCCAACCUGCCCAUCACUUGGGAAUAACCUUGCGAAAGUAAGACUAAUACCCAAUGAUAUCCCACGUAGGCAUCGGAAUGGGAUUAAAGAUUUAUCGGUGAUGGAUGGGGAUGCGUCUGAUUAGCUUGUUGGCGGGGUAACGGCCCACCAAGGCAACGAUCAGUAGGGGUUCUGAGAGGAAGGUCCCCCACAUUGGAACUGAGACACGGUCCAAACUCCUACGGGAGGCAGCAGUGAGGAAUAUUGGUCAAUGGGCGAGAGCCUGAACCAGCCAAGUAGCGUGCAGGAAGACGGCCCUAUGGGUUGUAAACUGCUUUUAUAAGGGAAUAAAGUGGGUCACGUGUGACUUUUUGCAUGUACCUUAUGAAUAAGGACCGGCUAAUUCCGUG